UGGGGAAUCUUGGACAAUGGGGGCAACCCUGAUCCAGCCAUGCCGCGUGAGCGAUGAAGGCCUUAGGGUUGUAAAGCUCUUUCAGCGGGGAAGAUAAUGACGGUACCCGCAGAAGAAGCCCCGGCUAACUCCGUGCCAGCAGCCGCGGUAAUACGGAGGGGGCUAGCGUUGUUCGGAAUUACUGGGCGUAAAGCGCACGUAGGCGGACCAGCAAGUUGGGGGUGAAAUCCCGGGGCUCAACCCCGGAACUGCCUUCAAAACUGUUGGUCUGGAGGUCGAGAGAGGUGAGUGGAAUUCCGAGUGUAGAGGUGAAAUUCGUAGAUAUUCGGAGGAACACCAGUGGCGAAGGCGGCUCACUGGCUCGAUACUGACGCUGAGGUGCGAAAGCGUGGGGAGCAAACA
rnacentral:rRNA from 1 species